rnacentral:rRNA from 1 species
UACGGGGGGGGCAAGCGUUGUUCGGAAUUACUGGGCGUAAAGGGCUCGUAGGCGGCCAACUAAGUCGGAUGUGAAAUCCCCAAGCUUAACUUGGGAACUGCGUCGGAUACUGGAUGGCUUGAAUUCGGGAGAGGGAUGCAGAAUUCCAGGUGUAGCGGUGAAAUGCGUAGAUAUCUGGAGGAAUACCGGUGGCGAAGGCGGCAUCCUGGACCGACAUUGACGCUGAGGAGCGAAAGCCAGGGGAGCAAACGGG